rnacentral:pre_miRNA from 1 species
AGCAUAAUUUCUGGGUUGUAUGGUAAGAAUGUAUGUAGAGCUUUGUAAGAAAACCACCAAACUGUCUUCCAAAGUGGCUCUACCAUUUUGCAUUCCCAUCAGCAAU